AGCAGCCGCGGUAAUUCCAGCUCCAAUAGCGUAUAUUAAAGUUGUUGCAGUUAAAAAGCUCGUAGUUGAAUUUUGGAUUCUGCCAAUUGGUCCAUCUUUUAGAUGAGUACUGGUUGUGUGGGGUCUAUCCGCCUGGUGAUACGUAAUGUCCUUUAUUGGAUGUUGCGGGUAGUCAGGACCCUUACCUUGAAAAAAUUAGAGUGUUUAAAGCAGGCUUAUGCCGGAAUACAUUAGCAUGGAAUAAUAGAAUAGGACGAAGUUGUUUUAUUUUGUUGGUUUCUAGGUACAACCGUAACGAUUAAUAGGGAUAGUUGGGGGCAUUAGUAUUCAAUUGUCGGAGGUGAAAUUCUUGGAUUUAUUGAAGACUAACUACUGCGAAAGCAUUUGCCAAGGAUGUUUUCAUUAAUCAAGAACGAAAGUUAGGGGAUCGAAGACGAUCAGAUACCGUCG
rnacentral:rRNA from 1 species